rnacentral:rRNA from 1 species
GAUGAACGCUGGCGGUCUGCUUAACACAUGCAAGUCGAACGCAACCUUCGGGUUGAGUGGCGGACGGGUGAGUAACGCGUGAGAAUCUGCCUUGGGGUCGGGGACAACCACUGGAAACGGUGGCUAAUACCGGAUACGCCUUCGGGUAAAAGAUUUAUUGCCCUAAGAGGAGCUCGCGUCUGAUUAGCUAGUUGGUGAGGUAAGAGCUCACCAAGGCAGCGAUCAGUAGCUGGUCUGAGAGGACGAUCAGCCACACUGGGACUGAGACACGGCCCAGACUCCUACGGGAGGCAGCAGUGGGGAAUUUUCCGCAAUGGGCGAAAGCCUGACGGAGCAAGACCGCGUGAGGGAGGAAGGCUCUUGGGUUGUAAACCUCUUUUCUCAGGGAAGAAGCUCUGACGGUACCUGAGGAAUCAGCCUCGGCUAACUCCGUGCCAGCAGCCGCGGUAAUACGAAGGGGGCGAGCGUUAUUCGGAUUUAUUGGGCGUAAAGGGCGCGUAGGCGGCUAGGUAAGUCUGGUGUGAAAACGCUACCGCUCAACGGAGCGAUUGCGCUGGAAACUGCCUAACUUGAGUCCGAGAGAGGUGUGCAGAAUACUCGGUGUAGCGGUGGAAUGCUUAGAUAUCGGGUAGAAUACCAGAGGCGAAGGCGGCACACUGGCUCGCGACUGACGCUGAGGCGCGAAAGCAUGGGGAUCAAACGGGAUUAGAUACCCCGGUAGUCCAUGUCUGUAAACGGUGAGUACUAGCUGUGGGGGGUACCCAUUCCCUCUGUGGCGUAGGUAACCUAUUAAGUACUCCGCCUGGGAAGUACGGCCGCAAGGUUGAAACUCAAAGGAAUUGACGGGGGCCCGCACAAGCGGUGGAGCAUGUGGUUUAAUUCGAA